UGUUGCUUCGGUGCGCCCGCCUCACGGCCGCCGGGGGGCUUCUGCCCCCGGGUCCGCGCGCACCGGAGACACCAUUGAACUCUGUCUGAAGAUUGCAGUCUGAGCAUAAACUAAAUAAGUUAAAACUUUCAACAACGGAUCUCUUGGUUCCGGCAUCGAUGAAGAACGCAGCGAAAUGCGAUAACUAAUGUGAAUUGCAGAAUUCAGUGAAUCAUCGAGUCUUUGAACGCACAUUGCGCCCCCUGGUAUUCCGGGGGGCAUGCCUGUCCGAGCGUCAUUGCUGCCCUCAAGCACGGCUUGUGUGUUGGGCUCCGUCCCCCCGGGGACGGGUCCGAAAGGCAGCGGCGGCACCGAGUCCGGUCCUCGAGCGUAUGGGGCUUUGUCACCCGCUCUGUAGGCCCGGCCGGCGCCAGCCGACAACCAAUCAUCCUUUUCAGGUUGACCUCGGAUCAGGUAGGGAUACCCGCUGAACUUAAGCAUAUCAAUAAGCGGAGG
rnacentral:rRNA from 1 species